rnacentral:rRNA from 2 species
GGGGGAUAUUGCACAAUGGGGGAAACCCUGAUGCAGCGACGCCGCGUGGAGGAAGAAGGUUUUCGGAUUGUAAACUCCUGUCGUUAGGGACGAUAAUGACGGUACCUAACAAGAAAGCACCGGCUAACUACGUGCCAGCAGCCGCGGUAAAACGUAGGGUGCAAGCGUUGUCCGGAAUUACUGGGUGUAAAGGGAGCGCAGGCGGACCGGCAAGUUGGAAGUGAAAACUAUGGGCUCAACCCAUAAAUUGCUUUCAAAACUGCUGGCCUUGAGUAGUGCAGAGGUAGGUGGAAUUCCCGGUGUAGCGGUGGAAUGCGUAGAUAUCGGGAGGAACACCAGUGGCGAAGGCGACCUACUGGGCACCAACUGACGCUGAGGCUCGAAAGCAUGGGUAGCAAACAGGAUUAGAUACCCUGGUAGUCCAUGCCGUAAACGAUGAUUACUAGGUGUUGGAGGAUUGACCCCUUCAGUGCCGCAGUUAACACAAUAAGUAAUCCACCUGGGGAGUACGACCGCAAGGUUGAAACUCAAAGGAAUUGACGGGGGCCCGCACAAGCAGUGGAGUAUGUGGUUUAAUUCGAAGCAACGCGAAGAACCUUACCAGGUCUUGACAUCCGAUGCAUAGCUUAGAGAUAAGUGAAGUCCUUCGGGACAUCGAGACAGGUGGUGCAUGGUUGUCGUCAGCUCGUGUCGUGAGAUGUUGGGUUAAGUCCCGCAACGAGCGCAACCCCUAUUGUUAGUUGCUACGCAAGAGCACUCUAGCGAGACUGCCGUUGACAAAACGGAGGAAGGUGGGGACGACGUCAAAUCAUCAUGCCCCUUAUGUCCUGGGCUACACACGUAAUACAAUGGCAUUUAACAGAGGGAAGCAAAACCGCGAGGUAGAGCAAAUCCCUAAAAGGUGUCUCAGUUCGGAUUGCAGGCUGCAACUCGCCUGCAUGAAGUCGGAAUUGCUAGUAAUCGCGGAUCAGCAUGCCGCGGUGAAUACGUUCCCG